GUCCUUAGACAAAGUAACAUCGCUUGGUAGCGAAACGAUAUCGAAAAUCGUCAUCGUCUCAACGAUAACGACAAACAUUUCUUAGCCAAAGUAACAUCGCGAUCGUUAUCGUUGUGUCGAAUCGAUUGUUCGCUAAAAAAUAAAAAUAUUGGUUAUGGUAACGAAAAUUUAGCUGUCAGUGUCACUCAAGAAGUUCAAAUCGGAUUAUUCCCGCGACUUAUUACUGUUUUCGAAUUUUACUGAUUAAAAUAAGUGAGUUGUUGGCCAUCACCGUACUUCGUGAGGGUGAUGUUAUCACAGUCAGCGACGUUGGAGUGCUGGGUGACGUCACGGGAUCGGCACGGUGGUCGCCGCGCCGGUGGGCUUCAAGUGGUUGUGCUGCGAUGUCCUUAGCCCAGACGUAAAUAUCCGAAAACUGCUGGGCUCAAGUGCUUCCCAGGAGAAAUAUGACUUUAUUAGUUCAUUUCGAACUAGCCCUCGCAUAAGACAGUCCACGUUAUUUCUAUGAUAGUGAUGAAACAUGGAAUCAAGAGUGCGAACAAGUUCCCAACAAUUGUCAAUGCUGCUGAGGAUAUGGCAAAUCAUGGUGACCCGGCGAGGCCUCUUACUGCAUAGGUUGGGUACGGUCAGACCGACUGUGGACUGAACUGACAAACAUAUUGAAUGCUGUUGGUGGUGGUGGCAGCAAGACUACAGACAAGUGAUAAAAAGUAAGGAUCUAAUGAACAUUUUUGGAAAGACUGGUGUGAUGGUAGAGUGGCUAGCAAGCUAUUUUCUAAAGAGUUUUGGAUAAGUGAACACACCCUUGUGGUUAUGAAAAUUGGCUUGUAAUCAUUUUCUCUGUUAUAACUAGACUGGGGACUUUUUAUAAUUAUGAUGAUGAUGAUGAUCAAUCUCUGACACCCAUAGUAAGAAAGAAACAAGAAAUGUUUAUUGGCAUAUACCAUAAAACAUUUGCUUUCUUAGUUGUAAGUUUUCUUUUAAGCAAAUAUGUAAAAGAAAACUUACAACUAAACAUUAACCUCCUUACUACAAAAAUUCAAACAAGUACAUAUAUAGUAUAGUACAAGCUAUACUUUGGUGUCCAA